CCCUGCAGAAAGAAAACAAAUGUGGUUAUGUUUCAUUUCCCUGUGGAGUUCACACUUGAAAAGUUUUGCUAUCGAGUCAGAAGGCAUAGCAGUGCUCAAAAAUACAGCAAGCAGCAGAACUGCAGAAAGCUUGUCAAACAUUUAAGCCAAAGUAAAGAAAAAUCUCAGAGCACAGCAUAUUACAAAGUAGCAUGUGCAAUAUGGAUCCCUGUUCCUUCAGUCUAAAGUGUAUCGUUUGCUUCAAAUCAAAACACCCAUAGCUAACAACUCUCUUAGCUCCCUGGACCAUUUACAGGACUGAACCGUGUUUGAAACUGUGGUCUAAUUCUUGGUAAUGGCACAAAAGGAGGCAAAAUGUGAAACCUAACUUCAAAAUUAAAGUUUAGUUGUAGCAUGUGUUGAAUGCUGGACAUCACCUCACCCUAAAGUGGAGGAAGUUCUAUAGCAUCUAUAUAUUUUGCUUUCACAGGGCAAUUUUGCCUGUUCCUGAAGGAAGUAUUCAUUAAGUCAGGGCUGUCCAAAUUCUGAGCAUGAGGGCCACACUCCACAUGGGCUGUAGUCCUGGAGGCUGCAUGAGGCAGGGACCAGAGAAAGGGCUGAUCACUGUACAGGUGGCCUUCUCACCAGCUCUAUACUGCCACACAGGCAGUAUAGCAUGCCCCCCUCACCCUCACACACAACCUGACCCCUCUCUCCUUCCAACUGUGCAUGCCAAGGAGACACCCCACCUCUCCUUACCCUGCAGGACAGGCAGCUCAACUCCCCACUGCAAAUGGAGCCCUCUCCUCCCCUCCCAGCUACAUGCACAUCUGCAGUGUGAACAGCCUGACUCCUGCCCCUCUCUCUCUCACAGAACACGCAACCCAGUCCCCCUCCUAUGAGUGGAGGCAUGAUGUAAAAGCUGGAGGAAGGAAGGGGGAAACUGAAUAACCCAGCUGCUUGCAAGUGCAACAGUGAAAGAGAGGGAGCAGCAGUUGUGCUGGGAGCCUGCAGGCCAUUAUACUAACCCUUUAGGAGUCGCAUGUGGCACAUGGGCCACCAUUUGGAGAGCCCUGCUUUAAUUCAAUGAUACAUAAUACCUUAAGCAACCGGGAAAAUUAAAGAUACAGAGGAAUAAAAGGUUCAGAAAUGUGUACAAGGGUACAAAAAGCUCCUCCCAAAUGUUUUGAUCACUACGAUGACUCCAGAAUAUCAAGAAACCUGCUCCUACUGUAUAUUUAAACACAGUGAAAUAUAGAACCCAGUAGAACCUGAAUGGAACUGAUACAUUAGUGAUGUUUGUGCAGUGACUGUGUAUUUGAAAAAUAAACUUUAAAUAAAAUGUUUUUCCUACUAGUCAAAAAGUUUAAAAUUAUGCAUGAUUUUACUACUACAAGGAGAACAGGUAAUGCUACACAGCAUUAAGUUUGCCUUUGCCUUGAGAAAAUGAAUGUUCUGUAAACUGAUAAAAUAUGCUGUAGUCUAGAUUUGGGGGCAUUGUGUAUUUUACUUCAUUAACUUCAUAAAGGCACACAUUAUUUUAAUUUCACUAAUGCAAUAUGAAAUAGUGUUUCCAACCUACUAACAUAAAAAAAAAAUAAAUCACAAAACCAUUAUCGCUACAUGCACACAAGCAAUAAAGUUCUCCUAAUGAGGAUGCAUUUGUAGAAUCAUAUUGCAUGAAAUGACAGCAUGUGCAGCUUCUUAAUGCAAGUGAGGGCUUUCAACAGUCAGCAUUAUAGUUUAAAGUUCUAGUUGUCCUGAAAUUGUAGCUACUAAUUCCCAAAAAAACCAGGCAGCUGCAAUCUUUGCAAUGAUUUGUUAGCACUGUCUUUAACUCUUUGCACCAUCUACUGCCAGCACAAGGAGACCCUGAUUCUCUGGAACUUCUGGGUGCUACAGAAAUAAAAACAAGACGCACAGAAGGAAGAGGAACUCAAAUCCUGGCAAGAAGCUAAGAAGAAACCCAAGCAAUGCUGGAUUAAGUCAUCAAAAACAACAUAUACACUUGUCCUUUACUUUUUAUCAAGAAGUAACAAUUCUCAAUUUUUUUCCUGAAUUAAUUCAGACUAAUUUUACAACGUAUUGCAGAAAACAGCAUUUGUUUUCUAAACUGCACAUGUAAGAAGAAUUUCAUGAUUUGGUCACUUCUGAUCCAUUUUGGCAGCUGUUCUGAAGUUAAUGACUAAAGACAGACAACCUAGGUCAGCAACCUACAGCCAUGGACCAGAUCUGACAUGGGGCAGCUCAGGGCAUUGACAGCCUGUUCCAGCCACAGCAGCAGAGGAGGCAUUGCUAGGGUUCUACUUCCUGCUGAGUUCAGUUUGUUUUCCGUGCUGCAGCAGAGGUGGCAUUCUGUGGAUCCUAGAAGCCUGCCUUUAUCUAUUCCCUUCUCACCAUCUGCCAAUUGUCUGGAGGUUCCUUUAAAGUCUCCUCUUCCAGCCACUGAAAGUGUUGACCUAGCAUGGUAAACUGAAGGAGACUAAAGAAUCAGGACACAGAACAACCAGUAUUCUGUGCCCAAAAUACUCCCAUAUAAAGGCAGACCUAAAAAAUUACUGGUUUAAAACUUUCAUCUUUAAAAAUAAAUCUAGGGAGUUGUAUUUG